rnacentral:lncRNA from 1 species
UCCAUGAAACCUUUCUUGAUCUCCCUAAUGGACUGCCAUCUUUCCUUCCUCUCCCCAUCAGGGCUUUGAAAUCUGAAUCUAUAAGCCCAAGCAAUUUGGCUGAGUUCAGAUUACAUCAACAGACUUUGGUUGGGAUUGGCCUAAACAAUGAAGUUACUGGGCAUUAUCUUGUCAUUUGUGGGGUCUCAAAUAUUGAGUUUGACUGAAUUAUUCAAUUUUGGCAUUGUCUAGUCACAGCUGGAUGGGUGCUGGCAAGAACUGAGAGGUUGGAGAUUGGACUGUGUGUGAAUUGGGCAGAUGGGGGCCUUAGUUGUAUGAGAGGACCAAGUGUAUUUAGUCUUUGUGCCAUAUUGGAGUUUCCAGGCUGAAUGAAUGUGCUUGGUGGAAGCCACAGGUACUCCUGGAUAUGUUGCAGAUCCAUCACCUGGUGGCUUCACUGUCCCAUUGACAGGCUGUCAUCUUCAUCAACUCUUCAUCUUUUGGGUCCAUCAUUGUAUCAGCAUUAGCAUGUUGGUAGUUAAGUUGAACAUGACUCCUAAAGAAACACGUGUCAGUAGAACAGCCUCCCCAGGAACAGGGUCUCAGGUCCAGUCAGCACAUUCUUCACUAGCCUCCACUUUUUAGAAUGAAGAACUCCCAGUAGAACUCGAUCUCAUAGGUGGUUCCACUCCAAGUGAAAAUUCCAAGUUGAACUGCACCCAAAACAGUUGUCACUCCCUUUGAAAGGCACUUUCUUUUGUGUCACUUCCCCUAAUUUUUACUUCUACCAAUCACAGUUGACACUUUUGUUUUUAGGACUGACAUGGGGCAGUCAGUUGAUUUUGAUUGGUCACCUACUAUUUCACACAUGGGUCACAGACCUCCCACUUAAUGUGUGAAAUGGGCUGUUUACACCUUUGAUGAUUACAUAUAAAAAAUGGGCAGAUCUUCCCACUACUGUAAAUAGGGUGUUUACAUUUUUGAUCAAAUCUAAAAAA